UACGGAGGGUGCAAGCGUUAAUCGGAAUUACUGGGCGUAAAGCGUGCGCAGGCGGUUUGUUAAGUCCGCUGUGAAAUCCCCGAGCUCAACUUGGGAAUUGCAGUGGAUACUGGCAAGCUGGAGUAUGGUAGAGGAAGGUGGAAUUCCCGGUGUAGCAGUGAAAUGCGUAGAUAUCGGGAGGAACACCUGUGGCGAAAGCGGCUCACUGGACCACAACUGACGCUGAGGCGCGAAAGCUAGGGGAGCAAACAGG
rnacentral:rRNA from 1 species